AGAGUUUGAUCCUGGCUCAGGAUGAACGCUAGCUACAGGCUUAACACAUGCAAGUCGAGGGGCAGCAUGGUCUUAGCUUGCUAAGGCCGAUGGCGACCGGCGCACGGGUGAGUAACACGUAUCCAACCUGCCGUCUACUCUUGGACAGCCUUCUGAAAGGAAGAUUAAUACAAGAUGGCAUCAUGAGUCCGCAUGUUCACAUGAUUAAAGGUAUUCCGGUAGACGAUGGGGAUGCGUUCCAUUAGAUAGUAGGCGGGGUAACGGCCCACCUAGUCUUCGAUGGAUAGGGGUUCUGAGAGGAAGGUCCCCCACAUUGGAACUGAGACACGGUCCGAACUCCUACGGGAGGCAGCAGUGAGGAAUAUUGGUCAAUGGGCGAGAGCCUGAACCAGCCAAGUAGCGUGAAGGAUGACUGCCCUAUGGGUUGUAAACUUCUUUUAUAAAGGAAUAAAGUCGGGUAUGGAUACCCGUUUGCAUGUACUUUAUGAAUAAGGAUCGGCUAACUCCGUGCCAGCAGCCGCGGUAAUACGGAGGAUCCGAGCGUUAUCCGGAUUAAUUGGGUUUAAAGGGAGCGUAGAUGGAUGUUUAAGUCAGUUGUGAAAGUUUGCGGCUCAACCGUAAAAUUGCAGUUGAUACUGGAUAUCUUGAGUGCAGUUGAGGCAGGCGGAAUUCGUGGUGUAGCGGUGAAAUGCUUAGAUAUCACGAAGAACUCCGAUUGCGAAGGCAGCCUGCUAAGCUGCAACUGACAUUGAGGCUCGAAAGUGUGGGUAUCAAACAGGAUUAGAUACCCUGGUAGUCCACACGGUAAACGAUGAAUACUCGCUGUUUGCGAUAUACUGCAAGCGGCCAAGCGAAAGCGUUAAGUAUUCCACCUGGGGAGUACGCCGGCAACGGUGAAACUCAAAGGAAUUGACGGGGGCCCGCACAAGCGGAGGAACAUGUGGUUUAAUUCGAUGAUACGCGAGGAACCUUACCCGGGCUUAAAUUGCAGAUGAAUUACGGUGAAAGCCGUAAGCCGCAAGGCAUCUGUGAAGGUGCUGCAUGGUUGUCGUCAGCUCGUGCCGUGAGGUGUCGGCUUAAGUGCCAUAACGAGCGCAACCCUUGUUGUCAGUUACUAACAGGUUCCACUGAGGACUCUGACAAGACUGCCAUCGUAAGAUGUGAGGAAGGUGGGGAUGACGUCAAAUCAGCACGGCCCUUACGUCCGGGGCUACACACGUGUUACAAUGGGGGGUACAGAGGGCCGCUACCACGCGAGUGGAUGCCAAUCCCCAAAACCUCUCUCAGUUCGGACUGGAGUCUGCAACCCGACUCCACGAAGCUGGAUUCGCUAGUAAUCGCGCAUCAGCCACGGCGCGGUGAAUACGUUCCCGGGCCUUGUACACACCGCCCGUCAAGCCAUGGGAGCCGGGGGUACCUGAAGUGCGUAACCGGGAGGAGCGCCCUAGGGUAAAACUGGUGACUGGGGCUAAGUCGUAACAAGGUA
rnacentral:rRNA from 1 species